ensembl:rRNA 5S_rRNA 5S ribosomal RNA
GUCUAUGGCCAUACCACCCUAAACACGCCCGAUCUCGGAAGCUAAGCAGGGUUGGGCCUGGUUAGUACUUGGAAGGGAGAUAUCCAAGUUUGGCAUACAUG